ACAAAGUUUGUGAGAACUUGUUUGCUCCCCAGGGAGCUGACCUUUCUCAAAGAGCCUUUCCCAGGAUGCCUUGCAGGAAGGUGUAGCACCUGUGAGUAGCCAGCCUGGAGCUACCUGGAGGACCGGAUUUGGGCGUGAAUGGAUGUUCCCCAGGAGGAGUUCCUCAGGACUUCUUUUUCUUGAUAAGCCAGGUUUAUCUUGCCUACCAGAAGGUCAGGGCAUUGGCCAGUCCCAGCUGGGGAAGGACUGUUACUCCUGUGAAAUGUCUCCUUGCUGGUUCACUGCACGCCAGAGCUCCUGUUCACAGUCCUUACCAGAAACGGGAGCCUGGGUGAUGCAUUCAACAGGGCAGAAGAUGAUUGCAUGGAGAACCAACGAAGCUGGCAAACAACAAAAAAAAUAACCUAAUACCUACGCGGAGCAGCUAUUGUGAGACUUACAUGAGGUAAAGCUGAAAAACACCAGGAAAGUAACUGUGUCCCUGAAGACUUCAGACCUGUUGUUGACUGGCUCCAAAUUAUCUGGGAGUGUUCCAAUGAAUCCGGACUGCCUCUUUGACCCAGUCGUGGAGGAGGCUGGAAACCAGCCAUGUGCCAGGAAUUAGACGUUGGGAAUGAAGAGGUGAAAGAGACAGUCCCUGUUAAAGACGGCCACAGAGAGCUAAGAAAAUUAGUGAAGACGGCACAGCAUGCAAAGAAGUGCCAUCGGGAUUUGCACAGAGUAUUGGUGAGAAUGGAAGAAGCAUCUAACGCCUCCUGGGUGACACUCCAGGAAAAAGAGGUGGGGAAAUGCUUUAAAGUGACACCAGAGAACACUCACACACUGCUGGUGGGAACGUAAAACAGUGCAGCCACUUUGGAGGACAGUCUGGCAUUUCCUCCGAAGGUGAAACACAGAGUUACCACGUGACCCAGCAAUUCCACUCCUCGGUCGGCACCCAAGAGAAAUGAAAAUACAGGUUCACACACACACACACACACACACACACACAACUUGUACGUGAAUGUUCAGAACAGUAUUACUCAUUAUAGCUGCAAAAUGAAAACAGCUCAAAUGUCCCUCCCGUGAUGAAUGGAUAAAUUAAAUGUGGUGUCCGUACCCUGGAAUGUUCUUUGACGUUAAAGAGGAAAAAAGUACUGAUGCAUACUACAACGUGCAUGAAGCUUGAGAACGUUAUGCUGAGUGAAAGAAGGCAGUCACAAAGCAUCAAAUAUUGUAUGAUUUCCUUUGGGUGAAAUAUCUAGCAUAGGCAAAUCUGUAGAGACAGGGAGUAGAUUACUGUUUGCCUAGAUCUGGUGGAAAUGGGAGCAUUGAGGGGUUAUGGCUGAGGGCCACAGGCUUUCCUUUUCAGGUGGUGCUUUGAAAUUGAUUCUGUAAUUGUUGCACAACUUGGUGAAUAUACGAAAAGCCCUUGAAUUAUACACUCACAUAGGUGAAUUGUAUGGUAUAUGAAUUCAAUCUCAAUAAAGUUGUUAAAAACAACAGUGACACCUGAGGACCAGUAGGGGAGAAGGUUACUGGGCAGAGUGACAAUAAUGAGCAAAUAUACCCCAUUAGCAACCCCCCCUUGACUCUACUGCCAAAAUGUGUCCCCCAGAUCCUUUUAACCUUCUCUAUUCGCACCACUACCUUCCUGAUCCAAGCCACUGGUAUCUACCUGAACCACUGAAGUAGCCUCAUAACUACUAUACUCCUGUCCCUGUGCUGGGGGGUUGAGUGGCAGCACAGGACCAUCCUUCUUCUCUGGAGGGGCUGAAAGUGUGGGGAGCUCAUUUUCCAGAGGCCCUGUUUCGGGGCUCCAGACUGCCCAUGCCCCUUCCCUAGGACCCCUUCCCUGUUUCUGCUGAGUAUCCGGCUCAUCCCUAGUCGCACUGUCUUCCCCUGUGACACUCGAUCACGACUGAGAGUGGUUUUCUUUGUAGCUCAUGUCACCUGCUGAGGUUCACGUAUGUCCUUUCUUGCUCACUCUCCGCCUCCUUUCUGGAAUGCAAGCUCCCUGCAAGCAGGGACUUUGAUUCACAGCAGUAUGUGCGGUGCCUCGUUCAGUCUCUCGUACACAGAAGCUUCUCGUACUCUUGCUUGCUGAGUGUGCGAAGACGAGGCAGGACGAGGACAGGGCGUUGAGGGCCUAUCUCGCGCCGUCUGUGGUUGGAAUGCCACGGGGCAGUUGUGGGGGUGGAGGGAGGUGAACGGUGAGGUUGCUGGGAAGAUGGGUCACACAGGGCUUUGCUAUUUCCUAGCUGUGUCAUCUUAGAAAAGGCAUUUCAUCUCUCCAAGCCUCUCCGGUUCUCCACUUUACAAUGGAAUUUUUAAAACCCAUCUUGUGAGGGUCGAAUGUGUACAUUACAUGAAAAUCCUGAGGAAAUUCAUAUAUUGAACAUUGAAUAUUCUCAUGUGCCCACAGGGGCUAGGCCCUGAAAAUUCAGAGAUUAAAAAAGGUGUGUUCUCUGUCCUUGAGAAGCCCAUGUCUGGCAAGGAAGACAGACCCACAAGAAGUCAUAAAAGGUGUCUCACAUGAUUGUUGCCUCAAGGCCUCUCAGCCAGAGUGCCUGACUUCCAGCCACUUCUCAUGACAGGGUGCCAGUCUGUGUUGUGUCUUUAUUAGCACUGGGACCUCCUCAAGGACAGUGGCGGGCCUCCACAUCUUCCACAGGGCCUGUGGGGCCUCUUCGGGAUCCAGGUACUAAGGAGGUCCAGCCUGCCUCUUCUCUUGAAUGGGGGGCUUGGCUUAUCUUCGAAACCAGGUGAUCAAAAAUCCCAGGUCUCCCGACCUUGUACCCUGAGUUACAGAAAACAUUUCCUUUUAUGACAGGAGAGCUCUUUAUUCCCCUUGCAUCGCCUUUCCCGGAUGCUUAUUCAGUCAGGCGCCAUUUUGACAUGACUCUGCUUUCUAGGCGUAGGUUCUUUCCGCCCUGCCUUUUCACUGCAUCACUUCUCCUCUUGCAAACUUUCUCCCCUUUGCUAAAGUCUGUUGUACCCAGCCUUCAUUGUCUUAAAAACUGCUGGGACUCUUUGUGACUGGGGACUCUGCUUUUUACCCUUCCAGGUUCUCAGAGCUUAGCAGUGCCCACAGAAAUGUCCUCUCUGCUCCCCAGAAUUUUAUCCACACCCUGUAACUGUUUGGAGGCACAGUCCGCGGCAGUGCGUGUUUCUCAGCUGCUUGUGACAUCAGGUUGGGAACUCCCUUGGGAUGCCGGCCUUUGUCACCUCAUCACUUGGUGUGCCUGGCAGAGUGGACAAUGGUGUUUGGGAUGGAGGUUUGAUGGCUUGGAGUGACAAUAAUGUCUUCAAACCUACCCUCUUGCUCUCGUUUGGGUCUAAGUAAAAAAUGCCAAAUGAACAGCCUCUUCUCGGCCUCCCUCAAGCCAGCUGGGACCAGGCAGCAGCCUUCGGGGUGACUAAGGAGGAGGAGGUGCGUGUUUUACUAUCAUACCUCCAGUCUCCAGUUUUCUCAAGGGCUUCGUUUCUUUUGCUUGACUGGGGGAGCUGAGUGUCUAAGUAAAGUGCAUUGUUUCCCCUGCUUCCGAUUCACCUCAGGACUAGACUGGCAGCUGUGGGGCACCUGGGUGGCUCAGUCGA